AGUGAGGAAUUUUGCGCAAUGGGGGAAACCCUGACGCAGCAACGCCGCGUGAGUGAUGAAGGCCUUCGGGUCGUAAAGCUCUGUCAAGUGGGAAGAACCUAUCGAUAUUGAAUACAUAUUGAUACUGACGGUACCACAAGAGGAAGCACCGGCUAACUCCGUGCCAGCAGCCGCGGUAAUACGGGGGGUGCAAGCGUUAUUCGGAAUCAUUGGGCGUAAAGGGCGCGCAGGCGGCCUUGUAAGUCAGAUGUGAAAGCCCGGGGCUCAACCCCGGAAGUGCAUUUGAAACUAUGAGGCUUGAGUAUGGGAGAGGGAAGUGGAAUUCCUGGUGUAGCGGUGAAAUGCGUAGAUAUCAGGAGGAACACCGGUGGCGAAGGCGACUUCCUGGACCAAUACUGACGCUGAGGCGCGAAGGCGUGGGGAGCAAACAGGAUUAGAUACCCUGGUAGUCCACGCAGUAAACGUUGAUCACUAGGUGUAGCGGGUAUUGACCCCUGCUGUGCCGCAGUUAACGCAUUAAGUGAUCCGCCUGGGGAGUACCGUCGCAAGAUUA
rnacentral:rRNA from 1 species